UACAGGAGGGGGCAAGCGUUUGUUCGGAAUUACUGGGCGUAAAGGGCGCGUAGGCGGCCUGCUAAGUCGAACGUGAAAUCCCUGGGCUCAACCCAGGAACUGCGUCCGAUACUGGUUGGCUUGAAUCCGGGAGAGGGAUGUGGAAUUCCAGGUGUAGCGGUGAAAUGCGUAGAUAUCUGGAGGAACACCGGUGGCGAAGGCGACAUCCUGGACCGGUAUUGACGCUGAGGCGCGAAAGCCAGGGGAGCAAACGGG
rnacentral:rRNA from 1 species